CCUACGGGAGGCUGCAGUGGGGAAUAUUGGACAAUGGGCGAAAGCCUGAUCCAGCCAUGCCGCGUGUGUGAAGAAGGUCUUCGGAUUGUAAAGCACUUUAAGUUGGGAGGAAGGGCAUUAACCUAAUACGUUAGUGUUUUGACGUUACCGACAGAAUAAGCACCGGCUAACUCUGUGCCAGCAGCCGCGGUAAUACAGAGGGUGCAAGCGUUAAUCGGAAUUACUGGGCGUAAAGCGCGCGUAGGUGGUUUGUUAAGUUGGAUGUGAAAGCCCCGGGCUCAACCUGGGAACUGCAUUCAAAACUGACAAGCUAGAGUAUGGUAGAGGGUGGUGGAAUUUCCUGUGUAGCGGUGAAAUGCGUAGAUAUAGGAAGGAACACCAGUGGCGAAGGCGACCACCUGGACUGAUACUGACACUGAGGUGCGAAAGCGUGGGGAGCA
rnacentral:rRNA from 1 species